rnacentral:lncRNA from 1 species
CAGAUAAGGAAACUGAGGCACUGAGAGGCUGAAUAGGUUGUCCAAGGCAGUGGAUGAGCCAAGAUUUACAACCUGGCAGACUGCUGUAGUCUAUGAACUUACCUUCUUCCCUCCACACCUCAGAUACUCCAGUUCCCUUGGACCUUGUAGUUAACAUGAGUUCAGAGGCACUAGGGCUUCAAAGUGGCAUUUAAAUUUAAGAAUAGUCAAAGGUAAUAGUUGCAGUGUUGAGUCAAAUUAUUAGAGAUUUUAAAUAAAUUUGUUUACUUAUGUGUAAUAAUGAAAAUAUUAAUUUGUUCAAUUGAUUGAAGACUUCACAUAUCAGGAUAUAUUAUUUAGUCCCUGUGGAGAUAAAUGAGAUAAAAUACAAAUGCAUCCUGAAAAAUGGUGGUACCUGCUCAAGUAAUAUUAGCUACUAUCCCUAUUUGAGCAAGAACAUUGUAAUGGCACCUAGAAAAAUGUUUUGUCAUCAAAUCACUGAGGUCAGCCAAUAAGGUAUCUUUUGAGCCUGAAAAGUUCUUGUCAUGACUCUCAUGAAUUGCAGAAAAGUAUACCCUCUUUGGUCAGAGUGCCUGGAUUUAAAUCCUGUAUCUGUCUCUUACUAGCUUGUGAUUCUGGGCAAGUUGCUUAAUGUCUCUGUAUUUCUGUUUGCUCACUUAUAUAAUGCGUGUAAUAAUAGUACUCUCAUU